GUCCUUUUGUUUUUAUUUAAGGUCUGGUCUGCUCACUGAUUAUUUAAAGAGCCGCGGUAUUUUGACCGUGCGAAGGUAGCAUAAUAAUUAGUUUUUUAAUUGUGAACUGGUAUGAACGGCUGGACGAGAAAAAUUCUGUCUCUUUCUAAUUUGUUUGAAUUUUACUUUUAAGUUAAAAGGCUUAAAUUUUUUUAAAAGACGAGAAGACCCUAUAGAGUUUUAUUGAUUAAUUUCUUUUAAUUUUGGAAGUCUUAUUUUUGAAAAUUAGUUCAAUUUUGUUGGGGUGACUGUAAAAUUAAUUUAACUUUUAUUUUAUUAUAACACUUAUUUGUGAUUGUUUGAUCCAUUAGUUGAUUGAAAGAAGAAUUACCUUAGGGAUAACAGCGUAAUUUUUCUUGAGAGUUCUAAUCGAAAGGAGAGUUUGCGA
rnacentral:rRNA from 1 species